CUACGUGCCAGCAGCCGCGGUAAUACGUAUGUCGCAAGCGUUAUCCGGAAUUAUUGGGCAUAAAGGGCAUCUAGGCGGCCAGAUAAGUCUGGGGUGAAAACUUGCGGCUCAACCGCAAGCCUGCCCUGGAAACUAUGCGGCUAGAGUACUGGAGAGGUGGACGGAACUGCACGAGUAGAGGUGAAAUUCGUAGAUAUGUGCAGGAAUGCCGAUGAUGAAGAUAGUUCACUGGACGGUAACUGACGCUGAAGUGCGAAAGCUAGGGGAGCAAACAGGAUUAGAUACCCUGGUAGUCCUAGCUGUAAACGAUGAUUACUGGGUGUGGGCAUGAAGAGUGUCCGUGCCGAAGCUAAUGCGAUAAGUAAUCCGCCUGGGGAGUACGGCCGCAAGGCUGAAACUCAAAGGAAUUGACGGGGACCCGCACAAGCGGUGGAGCAUGUGGUUUAAUUCGACGCAACGCGAGGAACCUUACCAGAUCUUGACAUCCUG
rnacentral:rRNA from 1 species